GACGAACGCUGGCGGCGUGCCUAAUACAUGCAAGUCGAGCGGACUUUCAAGAAGCUUGCUUUUUGAAAGUUAGCGGCGGACGGGUGAGUAACACGUGGGCAACCUGCCUGCAAGACGGGGAUAACUCCGGGAAACCGGGGCUAAUACCGGAUAAUAUCUUCCUUCGCAUGAAGGAAGGUUGAAAGGCGGCGCAAGCUGCCGCUUGCAGAUGGGCCCGCGGCGCAUUAGCUAGUUGGUGAGGUAACGGCUCACCAAGGCGACGAUGCGUAGCCGGCCUGAGAGGGUGAUCGGCCACACUGGGACUGAGACACGGCCCAGACUCCUACGGGAGGCAGCAGUAGGGAAUCUUCCGCAAUGGACGAAAGUCUGACGGAGCAACGCCGCGUGAGCGAAGAAGGUCUUCGGAUCGUAAAGCUCUGUUGUCAGGGAAGAACAAGUACCGUUCGAACAGGGCGGUACCUUGACGGUACCUGACCAGAAAGCCACGGCUAACUACGUG
rnacentral:rRNA from 1 species